UACGUAGGGUGCAAGCGUUAAUCGGAAUUACUGGGCGUAAAGCGUGCGCAGGCGGUUUUGUAAGUCUGUCGUGAAAUCCCCGGGCUCAACCUGGGAAUUGCGAUGGAGACUGCAAGGCUAGAAUCUGGCAGAGGGGGGUAGAAUUCCACGUGUAGCAGUGAAAUGCGUAGAGAUCGGGAGGAACACCAGUGGCGAAGGCGACUACCUGGACCAGCACUGACACUGAGGCACGAAAGCGUGGGGAGCAAACAGG
rnacentral:rRNA from 1 species